CUUCUUUCCGUUGGUGUGGGUC
rnacentral:miRNA from 1 species